AGCCCUUCUGCCAGUGGGCAAAGAGAUACAUUGUUGGUGGUGGUGUUCUUAUAUCAGGCGGGGCAGAGCAGAAGGCAGUCCUUUGUUCAUCCUAGCUUGAUGCUUGGCUUGGUGGCCAAAGCUGUUUUAUGCCAAGGACUCAUAA
ensembl:snoRNA LOC120093431 small nucleolar RNA SNORA48